GUGCCAGCAGCCGCGGUAAUACGUAGGUGGCAAGCGUUGUCCGGAAUUAUUGGGCGUUUAGCGCGCGCAGGCGGUCCUUUAAGUCUGAUGUGAAAGCCCACGGCUCAACCGUGGAGGGUCAUUGGAAACUGGGGGACUUGAGUACAGAAGAGGAAAGUGGAAUUCCAUGUGUAACGGUGAAAUGCGUAGAGAUGUGGAGGAACACCAGUGGCGAAGGCGGCUCUCUGGUCUGUAACUGACGCUGAGGCGCGAAAGCAUGGGUAGCGAACAGGAUUAGAUACCCCAGUAGUCC
rnacentral:rRNA from 1 species